GUCUACGGCCAUGCCACUCUGAACAAGCCCGAUCCCGUCUGAUCUUGGAAGCUCAGCAGGGUCGGGCCUGGUUAGUACCUGAAUGGGAGACCACCUAGGAAGACCAGGUGCCGUAGGCG
rnacentral:rRNA from 1 species